UACAGAGGGUGCGAGCGUUAAUCGGAAUUACUGGGCGUAAAGGGCGCGUAGGUGGUGCGACAAGCAUGAUGUGAAAUCCCCGGGCUUAACCUGGGAACUGCAUUCUGGACUGUCGCGCUGGAGUACUGUAGAGGAUAGUGGAAUCUCCGGUGUAGCGGUGAAAUGCGUAGAGAUCGGAAGGAACACCAGUGGCGAAGGCGACUGUCUGGACAGAUACUGACACUGAGGCGCGAAAGCGUGGGGAGCAAACAGG
rnacentral:rRNA from 1 species